rnacentral:rRNA from 1 species
CGGGCUGUAGCAAUACAGUGCCGGCGAGCGGCGGACGGGUGAGGAAUACAUCGGAAUCUACCUUGUCGUGGGGGAUAACGUAGGGAAACUUACGCUAAUACCGCAUACGAACUACGGUUGAAAGCGGAGGACCGCAAGGCUUCGCGCGAUUGGAUGAGCCGAUGUCGGAUUAGCUAGUUGGCGGGGUAAAGGCCCACCAAGGCGACGAUCCGUAGCUGGUCUGAGAGGAUGAUCAGCCACACUGGAACUGAGACACGGUCCAGACUCCUACGGGAGGCAGCAGUGGGGAAUAUUGGACAAUGGGCGCAAGCCUGAUCCAGCCAUGCCGCGUGUGUGAAGAAGGCCUUCGGG